rnacentral:tRNA from 1 species
GGGGCAUUAGCUCAGCUGGGAGAGCGCUUCACUGGCAGUGAAGAGGUCAUCGGUUCGAACCCGUUAUGCUCCA